UUCCGGUUGAUCCCGCCGGAGGCCACUGCUAUGGGGGUCCGACUAAGCCAUGCGAGUCAUGGGGCGCGCUCUGCGCGCACCGGCGGACGGCUCAGUAACACGUCGGUAACCUACCCUCGGGAGGGGGAUAACCCCGGGAAACUGGGGCUAAUCCCCCAUAGGCCUGAGGUACUGGAAGGUCCUCAGGCCGAAAGGGGCUUUCGCCCGCCCGAGGAUGGGCCGGCGGCCGAUUAGGUAGUUGGUGGGGUAACGGCCCACCAAGCCGAAGAUCGGUACGGGCCAUGAGAGUGGGAGCCCGGAGAUGGACACUGAGACACGGGUCCAGGCCCUACGGGGCGCAGCAGGCGCGAAACCUCCGCAAUGCGGGAAACCGCGACGGGGGGACCCCCAGUGCCGUGGCAUCGCCACGGCUUUUCCGGAGUGUAAAGAGCUCCGGGAAUAAGGGCUGGGCAAGGCCGGUGGCAGCCGCCGCGGUAAUACCGGCGGCCCGAGUGGUGGCCGCUAUUAUUGGGCCUAAAGCGUCCGUAGCCGGGCCCGUAAGUCCCUGGCGAAAUCCCACGGCUCAACCGUGGGGCUUGCUGGGGAUACUGCGGGCCUUGGGACCGGGAGAGGCCGGGGGUACUCCUGGGGUAGGGGUGAAAUCCUAUAAUCCCAGGAGGACCGCCAGUGGCGAAGGCGCCCGGCUGGAACGGGUCCGACGGUGAGGGACGAAGGCCAGGGGAGCGAACCGGAUUAGAUACCCGGGUAGUCCUGGCUGUAAAGGAUGCGGGCUAGGUGUCGGGCGAGCUUCGAGCUCGCCCGGUGCCGAAGGGAAGCCGUUAAGCCCGCCGCCUGGGGAGUACGGCCGCAAGGCUGAAACUUAAAGGAAUUGGCGGGGGAGCACUACAAGGGGUGGAGCGUGCGGUUUAAUUGGAUUCAACGCCGGG
rnacentral:rRNA from 1 species